rnacentral:rRNA from 1 species
ACAGCUCAAAUUUGAAAUCUGGCCUCUCUCGGGGUCCGAGUUGUAAUUUGUAGAAGAUGCUUCGAGCGUGGCUCCGGUCUAAGUCCCUUGGAACAGGGCGUCAUAGAGGGUGAGAAUCCCGUAUGUGACUGGCUGCCUCCGUUCAUGUGAAGCUCUUUCGACGAGUCGAGUUGUUUGGGAAUGCAGCUCAAAAUGGGUGGUAAAUUUCAUCUAAAGCUAAAUAUUGGCCAGAGACCGAUA